rnacentral:rRNA from 1 species
UACAGAGGUCCCAAGCGUUGUUCGGAUUCACUGGGCGUAAAGGGUGCGUAGGUGGCCAGGUAAGUUCGGUGUGAAAGCUCGGAGCUCAACUCCGAAAUGUCAUUGAAUACUAUCUGGCUGGAGGGUCGGAGGGGAGACUGGAAUUCUCGGUGUAGCAGUGAAAUGCGCAGAUAUCGGGAGGAACACCAGUGGCGAAGGCGGCUCGCUGGGACGUUACUGACGCUGAGGCGCGAAAGCGUGGGGAGCAAACAGG